UACGAAGGUGGCGAGCGUUACUCGGAAUUACUAGGCGUAAAGGGCAGGUAGGUGGUUUAGUAAGUCUGUUGUGUCAAUUCCUGGCUUAACUGGGAGAGGUCAACAGAUACUGCUAGGCUUGAGUAUGGGAGGGGGUAUCGGAAUUCCCGGUGUAGCGGUGAAAUGCGCAGAGAUCGGGAGGAACAUCAAUGGCGAAAGCAGGUACCUGGACCAUUACUGACACUCAGCUGCGAAAGCUAGGGGAGCAAACAGG
rnacentral:rRNA from 1 species